AAGCGUGCGCAGGCGGUUAUGUAAGACAGAUGUGAAAUCCCCGGGCUCAACCUGGGAACUGCAUUAGUGACUGCAUAGCUGGAGUACGGCAGAGGGGGAUGGAAUUCCGCGUGUAGCAGUGAAAUGCGUAGAUAUGCGGAGGAACACCGAUGGCGAAGGCAAUCCCCUGGGCCUGUACUGACGCUCAUGCACGAAAGCGUGGGGAGCAAACAGGAUUAGAUACCCCUGGU
rnacentral:rRNA from 1 species